AAUGUCUCGACAUAGUUAAUUUAUUCAAAAUAAGUAAUAUAUAAACAAUUUAUCUUGUUUUUGCCCAAUUUUAUUUGGCCACAAAUAGAAAAAAUCACAUAAAAGGUAAGAAAGAAUGUAGGAGGGCAAUGAACCCUCAUUAUUCCUCUGGAUUAAGCACCCAUAAUAUAAAUAAUUCUCUCAUUUAUCUCGAAUUCAUAUAUAGUUGAACUUUCUUGUCUUUGAGAUUUUUACUCGCUCUUCA
rnacentral:lncRNA from 1 species